ensembl:lncRNA
AUGGAGUCAUUUCAAACAGAUUACUACAAGUUGUUUGGGAGGAAAUCUGUGAGGAGGCCUGUGAUGAUUAUGUGCGAUGGGUCGCUUGUUCUGAUGCAAGUUGUUGCCUACAGUUUUUGUAAACUUCCUUUGGAUGUCUUGAUCAGUAUGUACUAUGACAUUGUCACAGGACAGUUGAAAGAUGUAAUCAAACUGCCAAUUCUUCAUCGCUGCCUGAGCCACAUCAUGAAGAAUGCUAAAGUGUUCUGCAGGAAACAUUCCCCCAAACACUACAGGCUGUCUAUGCAUCUUUUUGGCCUCUUGACAAGUGCUGCCACACUGAUGGAAAUGGAUGACAUAAUUACCAGCAUGACAGUACUGUUCUCAAGCCCUCAGAGUGGUGAAAAUGUGGAAAAACACUUCCAAAAUCUUCAGAACAGCAUGCAAACAAUCAGCUUUUAUGAAGGAAGUGACCGUGCAGAAAAUGACUUGGAGAUCACCACUGGACCCACAACAUUUCAGAGUCAUUUUGAGGAAAUAGUGGCAAAUGCACCUGUAGAUGAAAAGGGGGAGCCAAAUGAGUAUUAUUCACGUACAUUCAUGCCAAACCUGGUAAAAUACUUCCUACCUCAGGCACCUUUGUGGUCUGGUCUCAUGCUGGGCCAGUGGAAGACCAAUUUUUGGUUACUUACCCUGCUGUCCAACAACAGUCCAAUUCUAGCAACUGUGGCUUGUUUGCAAUAGCAUUUGCUUUUGCAUUAUGCUGUAACCUGAGGCCAGAAAACUGCCAGUUCCGCGAGGGCAGAUUGAGAGCAGAACUUGUAUCUUCUUUCCAGAAAGGACGAAUGCUUUUCAAAACAAAGCCAAGACUUAACAAGGCAAAAUCCACACAAACACUUGUGAAUGUGUACUGCUUAUGCAGGACUGCACACUGCACUGAAGUCAUGGUUGAAUGUACUUCAUGCAAGAGGUGGUAUCAUCCAAACUGUGCACAGAUACCCCAAAAUGCAAUUACUGGGGAUGAUGACUGGCACUGCCCCAAUUGUACUGGCAAAAUCUAAAACUUUUUUUUUUUCUCUGAAGCCAAUGUGGGAAGUAAAAUGAGUGUAUGGGAAGUAUGGUUCAUUACUGUUUACAUUGCCUAUACAUUGCUUUAAAUAUUAAAAUUGUUAUUGUUUCACUAGUAUUUAAAUUGUUGUCAAUUCAUUUUAAUAUAGCCAUGUAAAGUUAAGUUUUGCAAAUGUCAAGUGUGAAGUAAUUUUAUUAGUACUUUAAGUAUUUUACAAUUUUCAUUAUAUGCACAGUCUCAGGAACACGUCUUUUUAAUUAUGUUUGUGAAUGUCUGUUUUUUUCUGUUUAAACAGUUUGUGAAGUCAGUUGCACUUGUUAGUGUAGUUACUAAUUUUUUAUGUUAAAUAAAAUAAAAUUGCUUUAAUACA